CCUACGGGAGGCAGCAGUGAGGAAUAUUGGUCAAUGGCCGUAAGGCUGAACCAGCCAAGUCGCGUGACGGAAGAAGGUUCUAUGGUUUGUAAACUUCUUUUAUAGGGGAAUAAAGGUAUCCUGGUGUGGAUAUUUGCAUGUACCCUAUGUAUAAGCAUCGGAUAACUUCGUGCCAGCAGCCGCGCUAAUACGGAGGAUGCGAGCUGUAGCCGGAUUGAUUGGGUUUAAAGGGUGCGUAGGUUGUUUUUUAAGUCAGCGGUGAAAGUUUGUGGCUCAACCAUAAAAUUGCCGUGGAAACUGGAAGACUUGAGUGUGUUUGAGGUAGGCGGAAUGCGUGGUGUAGCGGUGAAAUGCAUAGAUAUCACGCAGAACUCCGAUUGCGAAGGCAGCUUACUAAGCCAUAACUGACACUGAAGCACGAAAGCGUGGGGAGCAAACAGGAUUAGAUACCCGAGUAGUC
rnacentral:rRNA from 1 species